rnacentral:rRNA from 1 species
UACGUAGGGGCCGAGCGUUGUUCGGAAUUACUGGGCGUAAAGGGCGCGUAGGCGGCCAACUAAGUCAGACGUGAAAUCCCUCGGCUCAACCGGGGAACUGCGUCUGAUACUGGAUGGCUUGAAUUCGGGAGAGGGAUGCGGAAUUCCAGGUGUAGCGGUGAAAUGCGUAGAUAUCUGGAGGAACACCGGUGGCGAAGGCGGCAUCCUGGACCGAGAUUGACGCUGAUGCGCGAAAAGCCAGGGGAGCAAACGGG